UUUUAUUAUUUAAUAGUUCAUUAUUAAAUAUGAUAGUUAUUACAGUUUAGUUAUAAUAAAACGAGCGAGACAGAGAGAGACAGAGAGAGAGAGUGAGAGAGAGAGAGAAAGAGAGUGAACAGGGAGGAGAAAAAAACACUACCCACGAACUCGGACCGGUUCCACUGUAUACGUUUAUGCGUUAUUAUUAUUAUUGUAUUCUCGUAUACGGCACGCUGGAGAAUAACUUAAAAUCGUCAGUUUGUGAACAAAUAACAACAACUUACAGCAGCACAGAGUCCCAUAAACGAAAUACGAAGCGUCAUAAACAUACCUUUUACCGGGAUAUUAAAGGGAACGCGAGCCCCGAGGGUGGUACCUAUAUUAUGUCCGUAUCUAAUACACAAAAAAUCAUUGCCCCGCGUGGAGGUUCGGUACACCACAAUAAUAUUAUGUAAAACACUCGUAAUACCUACGAUUGAACAACAGACUACUAAGCUUCCAAAUAAUCCACUCGACCACGAUACAAUAUGAACGUACCAUACUGAAGUCUCAUACCAUUAACUGCAGUUUGGGGAUUUAGAAAUCCCUUACCAGAGGACAACGAGUUUUUUUUUAUGAUUUGUUGUUUGUUUUUUAUGCAGUGGUUGUUUUUCACAAAAUGAACAA